CACUUCUAAGGAAGGCAGCAGGCGCGCAAAUUACCCAAUCCUGACUCAGGGAGGUAGUGACAAGAAAUAACAAUAAACCGGCUUAUGCCGGUUUAAUUGGAAUGAGUACAAUUUAAACAUCUUAACGAGGAACAAUUGGAGGGCAAGUCUGGUGCCAGCAGCCGCGGUAAUUCCAGCUCCAAUAGCGUAUACUAAAGUUGUUGCAGUUAAAAAGCUCGUAGUUGGAUUUCUGUGGGGACGGAGCGGCCGGCCGCACAUCGCGGUUCGAGCUAGCGCUUUCCCUACAUCCUGCCGCGAACCGUGCUACCAUUAGUUUGGUGGCGCCGGGGAUCGGCUCGAUUACUUUGAGAAAAAUAGAGUGUUCAAAGCAGGCCACAUGCCUUGAAUAAGUUAGCAUGGAAUAAUAACUAAGGACUUCGGUUCUAUUUUGUUGGUGUUCGGGACUGAAGUAAUGAUUGAUAGGGACAGUUGGGGCGGUCUGUAUUCCAAAGCGAGAGGUGAAAUUCUUAGACCUUCGGAAGACAAACAGCUGCGAAAGCGUUCCGCAAGGAUGUUCCCUUUGAUCAAGAACGAAAGUUGGGGGAUCGAAGACGAUCAGAUACCGUCGUAGUCUCAACUAUAAACUAUACCAGCUAGGGAUCGGCCAACGUUAUUUUAUACCGACUUGGUCGGCACCUUAUGAGAAAUCAAAGCAUCUGGGUUCCGGGGGGAGUAUGGUCGCAAGGCUGAAACUUAAAGGAAUUGACGGAAGGGCACCACCAGCCGUGGAGCCUGUGGCUUAAUUUGACUCAACACGGGAAAACUUACCAGGUCCAGACAUAGUAAGGAUUGACAGAUUGAUAGCUCUUUCUUGAUUCUGUGGGUGGUGGUGCAUGGCCGUUCUUAGUUGGUGGAGUGAUUUGUCUGGUUAAUUCCGUUAACGAACGAGACCCCAGCCUGCUAAAUAGCGCGCGUGAGCUUUGCUCGCGGCGAGCUUCUUAGAGGGACUAUGAUGCGCGAUAGCACAUGGAAGUUUGGGGCAAUAACAGGUCUGUGAUGCCCUUAGAUGUUCUGGGCCGCACACGGGCUACACUGGCGCCUGCAACGAGCAUAUCAGCUGGCCCGAGAGGGUCUUGGCUAAUCUUUUGAACCGGCGCCGUGCUUGGGAUUGACCUUUGCAAUUGUUGGUCAUGCAACGAGGAAUGCCUUGUAAACGCGAGUCAUCAGCUCGCAUUGAAUACGUCCCUGCCCUUUGUACACACCGCCCGUCGCUCCUACCGAUGAAUGUUCCGAUGAAAUUUUCGGAGAGCACCUGUGAACUUGGCUCUGCCUUGCGAACGGGAGGCUCAAAGUCACUUAAAUCUGAACAUUUCGAGG
rnacentral:rRNA from 1 species